AUGGGAGCCGUGGGUGUUUACCAAGUGGAUGGAUACAGUACCUGCCGUGUUGGAUACAGUACCUGCCGUGAUGUCGCAGGGAUUUGGAGGCCUUUGGGACAGAGUGAAGACUUUGGACGCCCACUCAGGAUAAAGGUAAAAAUGCACACACCUGCCUUCCAAUACCCAUCCUCCUUUUCUGGGGUUCCAGGGAAGGCUUUCUGGGAGCCAAAGAAUGCCUGCCCUGGAGUCGAAGGAGGUUGCAGCUCCUGGCAUCCCAGCGCUUGGGAGCUGAGGGGUUGCCGCCCAGGUCAAGGAUCUGGGGAGAGUUUCCUCAGUUCAGACUGUUGUCAGUGUGUAUAAGUCAGGUAGGGUAGGCAUGACUGGGAUAGGGGUGUGGAGGGCCCAAGAAAAAGAGGAUGCUUUCAUGUGGUGUGAACAUGUGUUUUUAUUUGUUUGUUUUUUGUUUUUUUCUCUUGCUUCAAUAGCCACCACACCAGGACGCCGUUGAGAGGAGACUCAGAGCCUGAGUUCACCAAGGACAAACCCUGAGCAGAUAACAGUGGCAUCUUCUGGGGAGGGCUGUAGCACUGGGGGCCUCAGGGGAGGAUUUUCCUUGUUGCUCCCUGUAUUUUGGUAUGAUGUGACCUUUUCUGGUGAGAAUGUAUCUAAAUAUUAAUUUUGUAUGAAAUAAAAGUUUUUCAAAGAAAGGCUCUGGUAUUCUGGGGUUUCAGAUCCCUUUGAACAGCUUAUGAAAACUAUGGGCUG
rnacentral:lncRNA from 1 species